GGACUACCGGGGUUUCUAAUCCUGUUUGCUCCCCACGCUUUCGUGCUUCAGUGUCAGUAUCUGUCCAGAAAGCCGCCUUCGCCACUGAUGUUCCUUCCGAUAUCUACGCAUUUCACCGCUACACCGGAAAUUCCGCCUUCCUCUACAGUACUCUAGCGAAACAGUAUUAAAUGCAAUCCCCAGGUUAAGCCCGGGACUUUCACAUCUAACUUAUUUCACCACCUACACACCCUUUACGCCCAGUAAUUCCGAUUAACGCUUGCACCCUCUGUAUUACCGCGGCGGCUGGCAC
rnacentral:rRNA from 1 species